rnacentral:tRNA from 1 species
GGAAGGGUGGCAGAGUGGUCUAACGCGCUGGUCUUGAAAACCAGAGUCUCGGAAACGGGACCGUGAGUUCGAAUCUCACCCCUUCC